ACGGCGAGUGAAGCGGCAACAGCUCAAAUUUGAAAUCUGGCUUCGGCCCGAGUUGUAAUUUGCAGAGGAUGCUUUUGGUGCGGUGCCUUCCGAGUUCCCUGGAACGGGACGCCACAGAGGGUGAGAGCCCCGUAUGGUCGGACACCAAUCCUGUGUAAAGCUCCUUCGACGAGUCGAGUAGUUUGGGAAUGCUGCUCUAAAUGGGAGGUAAAUCUCUUCUAAAGCUAAAUACCGGCCAGAGACCGAUAGCGCACAAGUAGAGUGAUCGAAAGAUGAAAAGCACCUUGAAAAGGGGGUUAAACAGUACGUGAAAUUGUUGAAAGGGAAGCACUUGUGACCAGACUUGGGCCGGGCGGCUCAUCAGGGGUUCUCCCCUGUGCAUUCCGCCCGGUACAGGCCAGCAUCGGUUCUUACCGGGGGAUAAGAACGGCAGGAACGUGGCUCCCUCUCGGGGGAGUGUUAUAGCCUGCCGUACGAUACCCUGGCGGGGACCGAGGUUCGCGCUUCCGCAAGGAUGCUGGCGUAAUGGUUACUAGUGACCCGUCUUGAAACACGGACCAAGGAGUCGUCCAUUAGAGCGAGCGUUUGGGUGUAAAACCCGCACGCGUAAUGAAAGUGAAAUUAGGUGAGAGCUUCGGCGCAUCAUCGACCGAUCCUGAUGUUCUCGGAUGGAUUUGAGUAAGAGUUUUAACGGACGGACCCGAAAGACAGUGAACUAUGCUUGUAUAGGGUGAAGCCAGAGGAAACUCUGGUGGAGGCUCGCAGCGGUUCUGACG
rnacentral:rRNA from 1 species